CUCACUUGCAGAAAACACUUAUUGGAUGUAAUUUUUCGCAAUUUUAUAAAUUUCGUUCAUGUGUUAACUUGUUCAGAAUUAUUCAUGCUAAAAAACCAGAAUAUUUAUAUACUAAGCUCAGACCGUUAAGAUCUACAAGAACUAAAAGUUUUUUGAUGCCGCAACAUUCGUCUUUUUACUAUAGUCAAUCUUUCUUUGCAAGAGGGGUUGUGAAUUGGAAUCAAUUAAGCAUUAGUAUCAAAAAUAGUCAUUCUUAUAAAAAUUUCAAAGAAAACCUACUGUCAGAACUCGCCAGCGUAAAUUAGAAUUAGGAUAAAGAGAAGCAUAGCAUUAAGGUAUCGAUUUAUCGAUAUUGAAUUAAAUCCUGCAUCUGCACACUUUGUAACAAAUUAAAAGGUUAAGCCUUAAGUUACAUUAUUUGAAUUAAAUAAAUAAAUAAAAAGAGGGAGGAUGUGACGACGUCAACGUGCAAGCUCCCAAAGAUAACAACGAAGUCGCGGAAGAGCCAAAGAUACGACCCGUUCGACCGCUCGUCGGAGCAUGCCGGCGCCAGGGACACCGUCAUGUACUAGCUGGUCCGCUACCUAUGCUACGUCCACCCCACGGUGCAGAACUUUGCGCAUGCCUUCAUCAACAACGCGCCGCUCAGCUAUAGGGGGAUGGCGUCGCUAUUUUUAGACCACAUUUUCCACUUUUUCUCAUCGAAACCGACUACUUUAUCGACUUCAUUUUGCUGGGCGAGAUAGGACGCCGUCUAUUUUUAGACGAUGACUGAGCACUUUUCCACUCUUGCACUUAAAAAAACCAGAUGGCAGCACGAUGUAACGCCAAGUCCCUAUUAUGGCGACUCGCUGUGGACUUUUCGCUGGGGCACUUUUUGACCAAUUCUUAUUCAAGGACCCGAAGAAGCCCAAGACGGAGGAGGGCGAGGGUAUCGGGCAGGUGCCGAAGCGGAAGAUUAUCGUGGUGGUGCAGCGGAUGGGCGACUACGUACCAAACGGAUCGCGUGGGCUGCUGGAGCACACUCUCACCAUAGAUCACUGCACCGGAGACAAGUGGUACAUGUUUAGAUUCUUCGAAAAAAAAGCAAACGUCUGCUCGAGGCCAAGGACCAGGUGGCCGAAAAGAAGACUGCCGCCCGUGGUCAGGAUGACGUUUACGACGGAAUCCCUAGACGACGACGAGUUUGAUUUGUACCUGGAUCGGAAGUAUGAAUGAUCGCGAUAUCCUCCGCAACUUGCAGCGCAAGCUCAUAGCGCUCCUUCAACCGUCGCAAGCAGUAUCCUUUGGAACUGGUGCUGACCCCGAUUCGUGAGUUGGGCAAGCAAAUCUUUAAAUAGUCGAAGAGACGUCUUAUAUGCGCGAAAAAGUGGACCUGUACAACAUUCCCUUCCUCGUGCUGGACGAGGCCGACCGUAGCUGGACUUGGGAUUCGAGAGCCACCAGAAGAGUCGAAUCGAAUGCUAAUAAUAAAAUUGUGAAAUAAUUUGCUUGUAAAUAUAUACUUCUGCGUAAAAUGACUUGUUUUUAUUUAUUCUUAACAGGAAUUAAAUUUCACUAUUAAACAGCAUUUUUCAUUAUAAAAUUCACAGGAAAAAAGUCGUUGUUAAAGCACUGUUGAACGACGUUUUAAAUCGAGAAAUUCAACAUUAGAAUAACAGCGAAGUCCACUGUAUCCCAAUAUAACUACAAUAUAUUACAAAAUUUAAGGUCCAGGAGAGCUGGAAUGUGUCAGUUUAGUUAUCGCAGCUGAUAUGGCGUCGUCAUCGAUGUCAAUCAUGGGGAGAGAUCGAUCGCAACGGGGAACGCUGUUGGCAGCAAUUUGAAUCUCGUCGUCAGUGAUAUGUUCGUUUGUAAGAACACUCGAAAACUUUUUGGCGAACAGCCUGCAGAUUUCCGCAGUGCUCUCAGCUUCCUCGUUGGCCAAUCGCAUGGACGAUGGCAGUCCAGAUUCUUUGCGGUUCUCGUCGACGAAUUUCCAAAACUUCUUCGGGUUAGCCUUCAGCUCACGCUGCUUCUUGCGCUGGUAGCUUGCCAUACAACUGCGACUCUUGAAAGCGGCUCGCUUCUGGGUUUUGAGGUUGCAAACCCGAGCAUGGGUAAAUAACAAGGGAAAUGCAAAAUAAUACCAUUCAAUGGUAUCAAUACCAAAUUUUGGUUUUAGCGAGCCCUUGAAAAAAUGUCCAAAGUGUUAGUUGAUACCAAUAUGUGGUAUUAUACCAAAUUUUGGUAUUGUUUUGUUAUUGGGCAAAUUAUAAGAAAUUGUCGAAUUUUGACAUACUGUUACUUACUUACAUACGCAAAUCUACUCCAAAUUCCAACUAUUUUAUGUUGGUCUUGUAACUUACGGGGUUGUCCGACUACUGAGCGUCACAGAGACUCCCAGAGUUCAAGGCCCUCAGGGUCGGCACGCCUUUAGUCAAGUCGCGCAGCUGGGGAAUGCUUGUGAUGUCCAAUGUAAAACUCCAGGUGUGCGGUCCAAAACUCUACACACUUUAUUCUCUCUCUCUCUACACUUCUCUUUAUUCCUCCCACUUUCUUACAGACUAAUCUGACCUUUUUCUUCACUUCUUCUUCGGGGCCCCGUCGUCGAUCGCAGCUCGCCGGCGAUGUCCACCUUCCUGUUCCUGCUACACACUUCCGCUCCCUCCUUCUUCUCCUUCUUCACUUCCGCUUCUUCAAGCUGGCGCACGCGUGCACGACCGCUUGCCGUCCAAGGUGGCUCUCCUACGGCGCGUCGUCGAUGGACCCGUCCGCUGCUCGUCCUGGCCUCACCACAGAUGGUUACGGCUGUGGCCUUCGGUACACCGUCGGGGGUGCCCGGAAUCCCCGGAUAGGCACAGGUCGAGCAGGUUAUCCCGGUAACGGUUGCGUUCGGGGAGACUCGAGGUGGUUUGAGUCCCCGGUAGGUGUCAGCGACACGAGUGAGCCGUCGUUGGUACUGAGACGGUUAUCACCAAACACAAGGGGUCCUGGCAGUAGAUGGUUUGAGGUUAGGGUCGUGACGGUUGGGUUUUGGGGUGGGUAGGGAUCUUUGGGCGUACUGUGGAGACUACUGGCGUACCUGGUGUCCUCCAAAUCAACUCCUGCACUCUAGCAACUCGGUGUUGCUCUCUUACUGGUCCAGCUGGUGAUGCUGGGCACUUCUGGGCACUGAUGGGCACUAUUGGGCACUAUUAAAAAUAACUUGGCGGAACAGAUGGUAGUCGAUCGAUCUGUUCGCUUUGGCGUCGUCCGGGGAAUAGAACGAUUCCGCGGACUCCCAGAAUAAUGGCGGUCUUAGUUCUUCCCCUUGCCUCCCCAUCUUCAUCCGAGCCUUCACCCCUGAUCCCCAUCCUUUCUGUCACGACUCCUUUCGCCUCCCCGCCCACAGCUAACAGCUCCUCUGGUGGCGGGUUAUGGAAGUUCGUUGGUAGCGCUGGCUGCACACUGGGAUGUUGUUGGUGGACGAUGAGCCGGGUCUUCGCUGGGAGAAAACCACCAGACACACAAACACUACCCAAGCAUGAUAUUUUUACGAAUUUACUACGCGAUAGCCGCGGAGACCUUCACUAGUGAAGUCCCGACGGUUACACUCUCCCCCAGCUCGGGUAAAAAAAAUACUUGAGAGCAAGGAUUUUUUUUGCAACUCAAAAAUUCGUUUUAUUUGUGAAUUUUUUGCGAGUCCCCAACCGGUGCGGCCUAGCUGAACCUUCCGAACCAAGCAUAACGAACACAGGACCGGAUUUCACUACCUUUACGGUAGCUCAUGAAACAUUUCACCAUUCAAAUCUGACCUCUAACAUCCAAAAAUAUAUAAGAAACAUGUGAGAUUUGCGAAGUAUUGUGAUAGGAAUUAUCGGGGUCAUAAGGCUUCAACGAAGGAUAAAAUCCCUCUCCGCGCUGUUUAGCAGGUCAAACCUGUGUACUGGCCCUCAACGUAUAUUUCAACUCCGGCCUCCAGCGAAUAAUCCAUCUAUAUACUUCGUGGUAACUCACCAAUUGUUGAAAAGGUAUUUAGCAAAAACAUUAAAAUUAACGAAAUCACUACAAGAAAAUAAAUUAAAUAACACAUGCACAUGAACAUUUUAAAAUUCAAUAAAUAGCAUGCAAAUAAAUAAAUUUAAAAAAAAAUAAUAAGUUUAUGACUGGGGCUCCGGAGCAAUUAUAUACAAAAGUAAAGUCAUGUGUGACUAUACAUGAAAUAUUUCAACGUUGUCGGAGUUGCAUUUUAGUACACUAUCUCGAGAUCUCGUUAUCACCGUUGUGUCUGUGUGCAUGCGAUCUUAUCAGGGAACUCACAGAAUCUGUCAAUCAUCUGUCACUAAAAUGUGCUUUAAGAUGCUGUAAACAUGUGAAAAGUGUGUUGAGAUUUUAAUUGGAGAAUUUUUGGGUUCGCGCGGGGCGAAAAUCGGUUUUAUCAUGUUUAUUUUCGUACGAAAUUUAAUGGCCAUGUUGAUCUCUGUGGAUAACAACGAUUUUCGCUUGGUAAUCCCUGAAAAUUCCCUCUUAAAACUCAACACUAAACUCUAUGACUAUGAAAACCUUUUUGGAACGAUCCUUGAUUUGUCGUACGUCGUGUACCUAAUGACACCCACGUACUGGUUCCUAAGCGCGGUGCAUCCACUAUGCCACCUACUUUUUGGAUUUUCCUGACAUUUCCCGCCCGAACGCUGCAGACCUUCUUGGAGUUGACAAACUGGAGUAGUCGGUUGGUUUAGGAAAAAGGUCCUUUACGCCUUGAGAUCGGCAGCCGAGAACACGCCGAGGGACUUUCCGUUCAAGUCCGACACCUCGUACGAGCUGGUGCCCUUCUUACGGACGAUGAUGCACGGUGUGUACUGGGGUCCGAGCUUGGCGUUGUAUUGGUCUCCUGCCGACGACUGACGAAAGCUUUUUUUAUACACACGCUGACCCACAUCGAAACUUGUUCUCAACAUUCCACGCAACAUACGAAUGCAUUGACUGCGCGACACUCCUGCUGUAUUGACCUCGCGGAUGGUUAAUUCAUGCUC
rnacentral:lncRNA from 1 species